rnacentral:SRP_RNA from 1 species
CCCGGGCGUUGUGGCGGGCGCCUGUAAUUCCACUAUUAGGGAGGCGGAGGCAGGAGAGUCGUUUGAGCCCAGGAGUUGGAGGUUGCUGUGAGCUGUGAUGCCAUAGCACUACCCGGGGUGACAGCUUGAGGCUCUGUCUCAAAGAAAAAGAAAGAAAGAAAAUGACCGUUUUUUUCAGAAGAUGUUUUAGUUUUCUUUUCUUUUCUUUUCUUUUCUGAGACAGAGCCUCAAGCUGUCGCCCUGGGUAGAGUGCCAUAGCAUCACAGCUCACAGCAACCCCCAACUCCUGGGCUCAAGUGAUUCUCCUGCCUCCUC